rnacentral:rRNA from 1 species
AACGAACGCUGGCGGCAGGCCUAACACAUGCAAGUCGAGCGUGAAGCAGUCUUCGGACUGUGGAAAGCGGCGGACGGGUGCGUAACACGUGGGAAGCUACCUUGAAGUGGGGGAUAGCCAUUGGAAACGAUGGGUAAUACCGCAUACGCCCGAAAGGGGAAAGAUUUAUCGCUUCGAGAUGUGCCCGCGGAAGAUUAGCUUGUUGGUGAGGUAACGGCUCACCAAGGCGACGAUCUUUAGCUGGUCUGAGAGGAUGAUCAGCCACACUGGAACUGAGACACGGUCCAGACUCCUACGGGAGGCAGCAGUGGGGAAUCUUGCACAAUGGGCGAAAGCCUGAUGCAGCCAUGCCGCGUGCGUGAUGAAGGCCUUCGGGUUGUAAAGCGCUUUUAGGUGCGACGAUGAUGACGGUAACACCAGAAAAAGCCCCGGCUAACUUCGUGCCAGCCGCCGCCGUAACAC